rnacentral:rRNA from 1 species
AUUGAACGCUGGCGGCAGGCUUAACACAUGCAAGUCGAGCGAGCGGCGGACGGGUGAGUAAUGUCUGGGAAACUGCCUGAUGGAGGGGGAUAACUACUGGAAACGGUAGCUAAUACCGCAUACCAUCAGAUGUGCCCAGAGGGUAUUAGCUAGUAGGGGGGGUAAUGGCCCACCUAGGCGACGAUCCCUAGCUGGGCUGAGAGGAUGACCAGCCACACGUGAACUGAGACAAGUGCCAGACUCCGACGGGAGGCAGCAUCGGGGAAUAUUGCACAAUGGGCGCAAGCGUGAUGCGGCCAUGCCGCGUGUGUGAAGAAGGCCUUCGGGUUGUAAAGCACUUUCAUCGAGGAGGCGUUACUCGCAGAAGAAGCACCGGCUAACUCCGUGCCAGCAGCCGCGGUAAUAC